UACGAAGGGUGCAAGCGUUACUCGGAAUUACUGGGCGUAAAGCGUGCGUAGGUGGUUUGUUAAGUCUGUUGUGAAAGCCCCGGGCUCAACCUGGGAAUGGCAAUGGAUACUGGCAAGCUAGAGUGCGGUAGAGGGUAGUGGAAUUCCCGGUGUAGCGGUGAAAUGCGUAGAGAUCGGGAGGAACACCGGUGGCGAAGGCGGCCCCCUGGUUGGAUACUGACGCUGAGACGCGAAAGCGUGGGGAGCGAACAGG
rnacentral:rRNA from 1 species